rnacentral:rRNA from 1 species
GAUGAACGCUGGCGGCGUGCCUAAUACAUGCAAGUCGAGCGAACGGACGCUAAUCUUGCUGCUCUGACGUUAGCGGCACACGGGUGUGUAACACGUGUAUCACCUCCCUAUAAGACUGGGAUAACUUCGAGACACCGGCGCUAAUACCGGAUAAUAUUUUGAACCGCAUGGUUCAAAAGUAAGAGACGGUCUUGCUGUCACUUCUAGAUGGAUCCCGGCUGCAUUAGCUAGUUGGUAAGGUAACGGCCUACCACGGCAACGAUGCAUAGACGACGUGAGAGAGUGAUAGGCCACAUGGGAGGGGGAACACGGACCAGAGUACUGCGGGAGGCAGCAGUAGGGAAUGUUACGCAAUGGGCGAGAGCAUUACGGAGCAACGCCGCGUGAGUGAUGAAGGUCUUCGGAUCGUAAAACUGGGUUAUGAGUGAUGAACAUAUGUGUAAGUAACUGUGGAGAUCUUGACGGUACCUAAUAAGAAAGCCACGGCUAACUACGUG